rnacentral:rRNA from 1 species
GACGAACGCUGGCGGCGUGCUUAACACAUGCAAGUCGAACGGGAAGGCCCUGCUUUUGUGGGGUGCUCGAGUGGCGAACGGGUGAGUAACACGUGAGUAACCUGCCCUUGACUUUGGGAUAACUUCAGGAAACUGGGGCUAAUACCGGAUAGGAGCUCCUGCUGCAUGGUGGGGGUUGGAAAGUUUCGGCGGUUGGGGGUGGACUCGCGGCUUAUCAGCUUGUUGGUGGGGUAGUGGCUUACCAAGGCUUUGACGGGUAGCCGGCCUGAGAGGGUGACCGGCCACAUUGGGACUGAGAUACGGCCCAGACUCCUACGGGAGGCAGCAGUGGGGAAUAUUGCACAAUGGGCGGAAGCCUGAUGCAGCAACGCCGCGUGCGGGAUGACGGCCUUCGGGUUGUAAACCGCUUUCGCCUGUGACGAAGCGUGAGUGACGGUAAUGGGUAAAGAAGCACCGGCUAACUACGUG